GGGUUGUGAGGUUAAGCGACUAAGCGUACACGGUGGAUGCCCUGGCAGUCAGAGGCGAUGAAGGACGUGCUAAUCUGCGAUAAGCGUCGGUAAGGUGAUAUGAACCGUUAUAACCGGCGAUUUCCGAAUGGGGAAACCCAGUGUGAUUCGUCACACUAUCAUUAACUGAAUCCAUAGGUUAAUGAGGCGAACCGGGGGAACUGAAACAUCUAAGUACCCCGAGGAAAAGAAAUCAACCGAGAUUCCCCCAGUAGCGGCGAGCGAACGGGGAGGAGCCCAGAGCCUGAAUCAGUGUGUGUGUUAGUGGAAGCGUCUGGAAAGGCGCGCGAUACAGGGUGACAGCCCCGUACACAAAAAUGCACAUGCUGUGAGCUCGAUGAGUAGGGCGGGACACGUGGUAUCCUGUCUGAAUAUGGGGGGACCAUCCUCCAAGGCUAAAUACUCCUGACUGACCGAUAGUGAACCAGUACCGUGAGGGAAAGGCGAAAAGAACCCCGGCGAGGGGAGUGAAAAAGAACCUGAAACCGUGUACGUACAAGCAGUGGGAGCACGCUUAGGCGUGUGACUGCGUACCUUUUGUAUAAUGGGUCAGCGACUUAUAUUCUGUAGCAAGGUUAACCGAAUAGGGGAGCCGAAGGGAAACCGAGUCUUAACUGGGCGUUAAGUUGCAGGGUAUAGACCCGAAACCCGGUGAUCUAGCCAUGGGCAGGUUGAAGGUUGGGUAACACUAACUGGAGGACCGAACCGACUAAUGUUGAAAAAUUAGCGGAUGACUUGUGGCUGGGGGUGAAAGGCCAAUCAAACCGGGAGAUAGCUGGUUCUCCCCGAAAGCUAUUUAGGUAGCGCCUCGUGAAUUCAUCUCCGGGGGUAGAGCACUGUUUCGGCAAGGGGGUCAUCCCGACUUACCAACCCGAUGCAAACUGCGAAUACCGGAGAAUGUUAUCACGGGAGACACACGGCGGGUGCUAACGUCCGUCGUGAAGAGGGAAAUAACCCAGACCGCCAGCUAAGGUCCCAAAGUCAUGGUUAAGUGGGAAACGAUGUGGGAAGGCCCAGACAGCCAGGAUGUUGGCUUAGAAGCAGCCAUCAUUUAAAGAAAGCGUAAUAGCUCACUGGUCGAGUCGGCCUGCGCGGAAGAUGUAACGGGGCUAAACCAUGCACCGAAGCUGCGGCAGCGACACUAUGUGUUGUUGGGUAGGGGAGCGUUCUGUAAGCCUGUGAAGGUGUACUGUGAGGUAUGCUGGAGGUAUCAGAAGUGCGAAUGCUGACAUAAGUAACGAUAAAGCGGGUGAAAAGCCCGCUCGCCGGAAGACCAAGGGUUCCUGUCCAACGUUAAUCGGGGCAGGGUGAGUCGACCCCUAAGGCGAGGCCGAAAGGCGUAGUCGAUGGGAAACAGGUUAAUAUUCCUGUACUUGGUGUUACUGCGAAGGGGGGACGGAGAAGGCUAUGUUGGCCGGGCGACGGUUGUCCCGGUUUAAGCGUGUAGGCUGGUUUUCCAGGCAAAUCCGGAAAAUCAAGGCUGAGGCGUGAUGACGAGGCACUACGGUGCUGAAGCAACAAAUGCCCUGCUUCCAGGAAAAGCCUCUAAGCAUCAGGUAACAUCAAAUCGUACCCCAAACCGACACAGGUGGUCAGGUAGAGAAUACCAAGGCGCUUGAGAGAACUCGGGUGAAGGAACUAGGCAAAAUGGUGCCGUAACUUCGGGAGAAGGCACGCUGAUAUGUAGGUGAAGUCCCUCGCGGAUGGAGCUGAAAUCAGUCGAAGAUACCAGCUGGCUGCAACUGUUUAUUAAAAACACAGCACUGUGCAAACACGAAAGUGGACGUAUACGGUGUGACGCCUGCCCGGUGCCGGAAGGUUAAUUGAUGGGGUCAGCGCAAGCGAAGCUCUUGAUCGAAGCCCCGGUAAACGGCGGCCGUAACUAUAACGGUCCUAAGGUAGCGAAAUUCCUUGUCGGGUAAGUUCCGACCUGCACGAAUGGCGUAAUGAUGGCCAGGCUGUCUCCACCCGAGACUCAGUGAAAUUGAACUCGCUGUGAAGAUGCAGUGUACCCGCGGCAAGACGGAAAGACCCCGUGAACCUUUACUAUAGCUUGACACUGAACAUUGAGCCUUGAUGUGUAGGAUAGGUGGGAGGCUUUGAAGUGUGGACGCCAGUCUGCAUGGAGCCGACCUUGAAAUACCACCCUUUAAUGUUUGAUGUUCUAACGUUGACCCGUGAUCCGGGUUGCGGACAGUGUCUGGUGGGUAGUUUGACUGGGGCGGUCUCCUCCUAAAGAGUAACGGAGGAGCACGAAGGUUGGCUAAUCCUGGUCGGACAUCAGGAGGUUAGUGCAAUGGCAUAAGCCAGCUUGACUGCGAGCGUGACGGCGCGAGCAGGUGCGAAAGCAGGUCAUAGUGAUCCGGUGGUUCUGAAUGGAAGGGCCAUCGCUCAACGGAUAAAAGGUACUCCGGGGAUAACAGGCUGAUACCGCCCAAGAGUUCAUAUCGACGGCGGUGUUUGGCACCUCGAUGUCGGCUCAUCACAUCCUGGGGCUGAAGUAGGUCCCAAGGGUAUGGCUGUUCGCCAUUUAAAGUGGUACGCGAGCUGGGUUUAGAACGUCGUGAGACAGUUCGGUCCCUAUCUGCCGUGGGCGCUGGAGAACUGAGGGGGGCUGCUCCUAGUACGAGAGGACCGGAGUGGACGCAUCACUGGUGUUCGGGUUGUCAUGCCAAUGGCACUGCCCGGUAGCUAAAUGCGGAAGAGAUAAGUGCUGAAAGCAUCUAAGCACGAAACUUGCCCCGAGAUGAGUUCUCCCUGACUCCUUGAGAGUCCUGAAGGAACGUUGAAGACGACGACGUUGAUAGGCCGGGUGUGUAAGCGCAGCGAUGCGUUGAGCUAACCGGUACUAAUGAACCGUGAGGCUUAACCUUACAACGCCGAAGGUGUUU
rnacentral:rRNA from 1 species